rnacentral:rRNA from 1 species
AGAGAAUAGAUACCCGGGUAGUCCAUGCCGUAAACGUUGGGCACUAGGUGUGGGGGACAUUCCACGUUUUCCGCGCCGUAGCUAAACGCAUUAAGUGCCCCGCCUGGGGAGUACGGCCGCAAGGCUAAAACUCAAAGGAAUUGACGGGGGCCCGCACAAGCGGCGGAGCAUGCGGAUUAAUUCGAUGCAACGCGAAGAACCUUACCAAGGCUUGACAUGGACCGGACCGCCGCAGAAAUGUGGUUUCCCCUUUGGGGCCGGUUUACAGGUGGUGCAUGGUUGUCGUCAGCUCGUGUCGUGAGAUGUUGGGUUAAGUCCCGCAACGAGCGCAACCCUCGUUCUAUGUUGCCAGCGGUUCGGCCGGGGACUCAUAGGAGACUGCCGGGGUCAACUCGGAGGAAGGUGGGGACGACGUCAAAUCAUCAUGCCCCUUAUGUCUUGGGCUUCACGCAUGCUACAAUGGCCGGUACAAAGGGUUGCGAUACUGUGAGAUGGAGCUAAUCCCAAAAAGCCGGUCUCAGUUCGGAUUGGGGUCUGCAACUCGA